rnacentral:tRNA from 1 species
ACCUUCGUGGUGUAGUGGUCAGCACGUUCAACGUGUAUUUGAGAGGUCCGUGGUUCGAGUCCCGGCGGAGGCA